rnacentral:tRNA from 1 species
GCGCCAGUGGUUUAGUGGUAAAAUCCAUCGUUGCCAUCAGGAUUCGAUGGGCCCCGCGUUCGAUUCGCGGCUGGCGCA